UCCCCGUUACCGGGGCAGUCUAACUAGAAAAAUUCAACUAGCUAUAAGGGUUGCGCUCGUUAAUGGACUUAACCAAACAUCUCACGACACGAGCUGACGACGGCCAUGCAACACCUGUCACCGGGUUCCAAAAGGCACAGUCCCCUUUCGGAGACUUUCCCGGGAUGUCAAACCCUGGUAAGGUUCUUCGCUUACCAUCGAAUUAAAGAACACGCUCCACCGCUUGUGCGGGUCCCCGUCAAUUCCUUUAUGUUUUAAGCUUGCGCUCGUACUCCACAGGCGGGAUGCUUAACGCGUUAGCUUCGCUACUAGAAGGGUCGAUACUUCUAACAGCUAGCAUCCAUCGUUUACGGCGUGGACUAC
rnacentral:misc_RNA from 1 species